CGAGAAAGCCCGCAAGGGUGAGUAAAGCGGCGCACGGGUGCGUAACACGUGGGUAAUCUGCCCUGAAGCCCGGAAUAACUCCCCGAAAGGCGUGCUAAUGCCGGAUGAGACCACGGGGUCUUCGGACCCUGCGGGAAAAGGUGGCCUCUGUAUACAAGCUAUCACUUCAGGAUGAGCCCGCGGCCCAUCAGCUCGUUGGCGGGGUAAUGGCCCACCAAGGCUACGACGGGUAGCUGGUCUGAGAGGACGAUCAGCCACACUGGAACUGAGACACGGUCCAGACUCCUACGGGAGGCAGCAGUGGGGAAUCUUGCGCAAUGGGCGAAAGCCUGACGCAGCAACGCCGCGUGUGUGAUGAAGGUCUUCGGAUCGUAAAGCACUGUCGCGAGGGACG
rnacentral:rRNA from 1 species